rnacentral:rRNA from 1 species
UAGGGAAUUUUCCGCAAUGGGCGAAAGCCUGACGGAGCGACGCCGCGUGAGCGAAGAAGGCCUUCGGGUUGUAAAGCUCUUUUGCAGGGGGCGACGGGCCAACGUGCGAAUAGUGCGUUGGUUUGACAGUACUCUGCGAAUAAGCUCCGGCUAACUCUGUGCCAGCAGCCGCGGUAAGACAGAGGGAGCAAGCGUUGUCCGGAAUCAUUGGGUGUAAAGGGCGCGCAAGUGGUUCGGUAAGUCUCGUGUGAAAUCGACAGGCUCAACCUGUCCAUUGCGCGGGAAACUGCCGUUCUGGAGUUCGGGAGAGGUGAGUGGAAUUCCUGGUGUAACGGUGAAAUGUGUAGAUAUCAGGAGGAACACCUGUGGCGAAGGCGACUCACUGGCCCGAUACUGACACCCAGGCGCGAAAGCAAGGGGAGCAAACGGG